rnacentral:snRNA from 1 species
GUGCUCACUUUGGCAACACAUAUACUAACAUUGGAAAGAUACAAAGAAGAUUAGCAUGGUCCCUGCACGCAAAUUCAUGAAGUUGCUCCAUAAAAA